CGGGACGCCUUGCCGAAUUGCUGCCAUCCACGUGCUCAUCCGCCAUCCCGGCCGCCAUUCCCGCCGUGCUGGAGCCCUCCUCUGGUGAAAUCAGGCUGCCCGCCACCAUCUUGUGUGGGGCGCACUUUCCGGCAGACCCGCGCUUUGCGGCGGUCCUCGCCCGACCAGCGCCACGUCACACAGGCGGCGCCGGCCGUUCCCCGGUAACCUCCGACCCUUCUGCCUCCUGACUGGGCGCCGAUGGGCUCCUCCGACGCCGUGGAGCGGGCGCCAUGCCCGGGCUCAACCGCUGGGGCGGCCGUGCUCUUCGCACCGUCCUGCGCUAAGCUGGUGCUGGGGGGGAACUGCAGCCCCCAGUUGUUCAUGCAGCCAGGCUAGCCCUCGGUCCUUCACAGCUGCCCUCACUCCGGCCAGGAUCUCGUCCAGGGACGCCAUGGAC